UACGGGGGGAGCAAGCGUUGUUCGGAUUUAUUGGGCGUAAAGAGCGUGUAGGCGGCCAGACAGGUCCGUUGUGAAAACUAGAGGCUUAACCUCUAGACGUCGAUGGAAACCGUUUGGCUAGAGUCCGGAAGAGGAGAAUGGAAUUCCUGGUGUAGCGGUGAAAUGCGCAGAUAUCAGGAAGAACACCCGUGGCUAAGGCGGUUCUCUAGUACGGUACUGACGCUGAGACGCGAAAGCGUGGGGAGCGAACAGG
rnacentral:rRNA from 1 species